CCCUUAGAUGUUCUGGGCUGCACGCGUGUUACAAUCGGGAGUACAACAAGAUUGCAAAUCCUAGUGGAUGAGUGGUUCUUCGAAAUUUUCUGAAGACUGGGAUAGUUGAUUGAAAUUAUUCAACUCAAACGAGGAAUUCCUUGUAAUUGUAAUUCAUUAUAUUGUAAUGAAUACGUCCCUGCCCUUUGUACACACCGCCCGUCGCUCCUACCGAUUGAACGAUCCGGUGAAUUAUUUGGAGUAGCUCCGGAAGUUGCAGAACUUCCUAUGUCACGAAAUUUUGUAAACCUUAUCGUUUAGAGGAAGGAAAAGUCGUAACA
rnacentral:rRNA from 1 species